GACGAACGCUGGCGGCGUGCUUAACACAUGCAAGUCGAGCGGUAAGGCCCUUUCGGGGGUACACGAGCGGCGAACGGGUGAGUAACACGUGGGUGACCUGCCCUCAGCUCUGGGAUAAGCCCGGGAAACUGGGUCUAAUACCGGAUAUGACUCCAUGACGCAUGUUGUGGGGUGGAAAGCCUUGUGCGGCUGAGGAUGGGCCCGCGGCCUAUCAGCUUGUUGGUGGGGUGANGGCCUACCAAGGCGACGACGGGUAGCCGGCCCGAGAGGGCGACCGGCCACACUGGGACUGAGACACGGCCCAGACUCCUACGGGAGGCAGCAGGUGGGGAAUCUUGCGCAAUGGGCGAAAGCCUGACGCAGCGACGCCGCGUGAGGGAU
rnacentral:rRNA from 1 species